rnacentral:rRNA from 1 species
CAGCAGCCGCGGUAAUACGAAGGGGGCUAGCGUUGUUCGGAAUUACUGGGCGUAAAGCGCACGUAGGCGGAUAUUUAAGUCAGGGGUGAAAUCCCAGAGCUCAACUCUGGAACUGCCUUUGAUACUGGGUAUCUUGAGUAUGGAAGAGGUGAGUGGAAUUCCGAGUGUAGAGGUGAAAUUCGUAGAUAUUCGGAGGAACACCAGUGGCGAAGGCGGCUCACUGGUCCAUUACUGACGCUGAGGUGCGAAAGCGUGGGGAGCAAACAGGAUUAGAUACCCCCGUAGUCCCUGUCUCUUAUAC